GGGGAGAUUUAGAUUAGAGGUUAAGAGGAAAUUCUUCACUCAGAGGGUGGUGAGGCACUGGAACAGGUUGCCCAGAGAAGUUGUGGAUGCCCCAUCCCUGGAGGUGUUCAAGACCAGGCUAGAUGAGGCACUGAGCAGCCUGAUCUAGCGGGUGGCAUCCGUGCCCAUGGCAGGGGGAUUGAAACUAGAUGAUCUUUAAGGUCCCUUCCAACCCAAACCAUUCUAUGACCCUGAUUCCA